rnacentral:rRNA from 1 species
CCUACGGGAGGCAGCAGUGAGGAAUCUUGGUCAAUGGCCGUAAGGCUGAACCAGCCAAGUAGCGUGAGGGAAGACUGCCCUAUGGGUUUUAAACCUCUUUUAUGCGGGGAUAAAGGUGUCCACGUGUGGAUGUUUGCAGGUACCGCAUGAAUAAGGACCGGCUAAUUCCGUGCCAGCAGCCGCGGUACUACGGAAGGUCCGGGCGUUGUCCGGAUGUAGUGGGUUUAAAGGGAGUGUAGGCCGGGCUGUAAGGGUGCCGGGGAAUUUUGUGGCUGAACCAUGGGAGUGCGGCGCGAAUUGGGGACCGUGAGUGCAGGGAAGGCGGGCGGAAUUCGUGGUGUAGCGGUGAAAUGCGUAGAUAUCACGAAGAACACCGGUGGCGAAGGCAGCCUGCCGCAGCGUUACUGACGCUGAAGCUCGAAAGCGCGGGUAUCGAACAGGAUUAGAUACCCUGGUAGUC